rnacentral:rRNA from 1 species
AACGUAGGGGGCGAGCGUUGUCCGGAAUUACUGGGCGUAAAGCGAGCGCAGGUGGUUUAAUAAGUCUGAUGUAAAAGGCAGUGGCUCAACCAUUGUGUGCAUUGGAAACUGUUAGACUUGAGUGCAGUAGAGGAGAGUGGAAUUCCAUGUGUAGCGGUGAAAUGCGUAGAUAUAUGGAGGAACACCGGUGGCGAAAGCGGCUCUCUGGACUGUAACUGACACUGAGGCUCGAAAGCGUGGGUAGCAAACAGG